AUACGUAGGUGACAAGCGUUAUCCGGAUUUACUGGGUGUAAAGGGAGUGUAGGCGGUUUAGCAAGUCAGAAGUGAAAUUCCCGGGCUUAACUUGGGCGCUGCUUCUGAAACUGCUUUACUUGAGUGCUGGAGAGGAUAGUGGAAUUCCUAGUGUAGCGGUAAAAUGCGCAGAUAUUAGGAGGAACACCGGUGGCGAAGGCGGCUGUCUGGACAGUAACUGACGCUGAGGCGCGAAAGCACGGGGAGCAAACAGGAUUAGAUACCCUGGUAGUCCGUGCCGUAAACGAUGAAUACUAGGUGUAGGGGGUAUCGACUCCCUCUGUGCCGCAGUUAACACAUUAAGUAUUCCACCUGGGGAGUACGGCCGCAAGGUUGAAACUCAAAGGAAUUGACGGGG
rnacentral:rRNA from 1 species